rnacentral:tRNA from 1 species
AGAGUAUGGUUUAAAGGUAAAACAAUAGCGUUCCAUGUUAUUAAUCCGGGUUCGAGUCUCCGGUAUUCUU